rnacentral:lncRNA from 1 species
AAAAAAAAAAUGCUUUUCCUUCUAAUUUUGGUAAGACUAAAAAUUUUAUAACUUUUUCCUUAAUAGUUUCUUAUAUUUUUGUAGUAUUUAGUUUUAGUGUACUAUCAUUAAUUUUGAUUAUUUUUAAUAAAUAAAAAAGGAAAAAAAAUAACCAAUGCAAAAAUGCCACCUAGCAAGAUUCUUUCAUAUCUCUUGUAACAAACUCACAUGCUUUCACUAAAAACUCACAUGCACAUACACAUUCUUUUUUCUUGGCCACCAAUUAAUUCCUAUAACUACACCUAUAUACCUUCCGCACACAAAAAAUACACAAAAAACGAAGAACAAGGGAGAGAAAGAGAUAUGGGUGAAGAACGGGAAAAAUUACACCAAAAAAGCAGCAGAAAAAUGCAAAAAAAAAAAAAAAAAAAAAAACAAAAAAAAAAAAAAACGACGCUGCCUUCUUCUUCCCAGCAACAAAUUUCAACCUUUCCAUUGAUUAAACUCAUCUAAAUCCAAUUGUUUUUUUUUCCAAAAAAAUCAGCUCAAUAAUCGUUGAACAUAACCAGCCGAAAACUACCCAAAAACAGCCUCUAAAUCGUCCAAACCGCAGCUCCAAAACGACCUCAAAUUCCCAGCCAAAACCGACUCUAAAAUGCCUCAAAACCAGCCCAAAACUCAAUCAUGAAUCGCCUCUAAACUCCGGCAAGAUCCAGCCAUGAACUCCACAAAAUACAGCUACAAAAAAGUCCUAAAAACCAGCCUACCAUCUCCAAAAACCGAGAAGCUCAUUUGAGAAUUUUCGGAGUGAGUUCGAGUUGAGCCCGUUCGAGGUCGUCGAUUCCAGUCCAAGGUUCUGAUUGAUAAGCUCAUUUGAGAUUUUCCAAGCUCUGUUUGCUUUUAGCUUCGUCGGCGUGCCUUUCCUUGUAUGUUGAUUGGAGGCUCUUGCGAAUAUUGAAAGCUAAUAAAAAAAAAGUUCAUUUCCUUUAUUAUUUUUUAUAUUUUUAUUUUUAAUGUUUGUUACUUUAUUCAGCCAUCAGAUAUGUGUGGCCUUAAUUUGCCUGAUUGGCUUCCUUCCUGUUGCCUUUAUUUUGUUAUAUUGUUGUAUGUCUCAGCAUUGUUAAUAUUUACUGUUGAUCUGAAGAUUAAUUAAUUUUGUUUGAGUGAUGAAUUCGUUAGUGUAGAAUUAAAUUGAUUUGGGUUGACUAUUUUAUUGAUUUUAUUCAAGUGUGCCAUAUAGGAUGUCUUGGUAUAAUGGGCCGUAUAGUCUAACUAGAAGUAGAUGUAGCUUUGAACAUAAGAUAAAUUAGAUUUGGAAUAAAUCAAAGUACGCGUUCGCGCGAUUUUGGCCAAACAAUCUUAAUAAUAAUAAAGCAUAAUUAAUUAUGUACACGUACAUGUGACAUUUUAUUUAGCCUACUAAAUAAAACGGAUUUAUACACAUGUGAUCCGUUUCAAAGAUAAAUUCAUAUGUCAUAAUUAAAAUCCAAAGACUCUUUGGAUCCGCCUAAGCUGGAAAGAUCAGCACUCAGGAGCGGGACUAGAUGCGCCUGAAUCUGCACACGGGGUGCAGGGAGUAAAGUAAGUACUCCAACUCAGUGAGUAAUAAUCAUAAACAAGGACUGAAAGCAGAAAAUCACGUAAAGCACAUUUGCAGACUAUAAUGAAGCACUAAAACCAAUGAAAGAUAUGUGAAAGUCAUUUAACUCGAAUUAAACUUCACGUGAACCUUUUUCAACAAUUUAAGCAGGUAAAUGACAGGCAAUUAAGGAAAAUAAACACAUAAAGGUUCGCCCCUCGGGCACAAUAUCAACAAAUUCGUCCCUCGGGCAAUAUCUCAAAACAAUACCAACCCCUCGGGCUAUAUCUCAUAUCACAAUGAGUACCCGUGCUCACUAGGGGUGCGCACACUCCUGGAGGGGCCCCUUUCGGCUCAAACGCAAAAUCAAGCCAUCUAGUGGCAUCAUCACUAGGCUUUCAGCCUCAUAUCAACAAACCACCUCGUGGCGUACAUAUUUCAGGCCCUCAACCUCAUAAUCAUAAUCACUGUAUCACCGAUGCGGCGUGCAGCCUGACCCAAAAGUAUCCUCACAGCACAGGCCCUCGGCCUUAUUCAGUCAAAAUCACAUAAGCCACUCGGGCAACAGUAAAACAUGAUGCUCAGCCCAAAAUAUUAUUUGAAAUAUCAUUUGAUAUACUAAAAUAGAGUAAACAUGACUGAGUUAUGAAAACAAUGAAAUAUAGCAUGACUAAGUUCAAGUAUAAAGUCAAGACAGUGAGGAAAUAUCAAUAAAAAUCCCCUAAAGGUUCAAAUAGUUGGGACGAAGCCCAAAUAUGGCAUUCAACCCAAAACAUGAUGAUAGCAAAUAGAUUUCAGUCAAAGACGCGGUAAAAUAGUCAUUCGGGAUGGACUAACUCACAAUACCCAGCAGUGCACGGCCCCACGCUCGUCAUCUAGCAUGUGUGUCACCUCAAUAUAGCACAACGAUGUGCAAUCCGGGGUUUCAUGCCCUCAUGACAUCAUUUACAAUCAUUACUCACCUCGAUCCGGUCCAAACUCUAGCCCGCGAUGCCUUUGCCCUCAUGAAUCGACCUUCGGAUGCUCCAAAUCUAUCCAGAAUCAGUACAUAACCAUUAAAAUAUGCUAAGGGAACAAAGCUCACUCGAAAACAUCCAAUUUACAUUAAAAAUCCCGAAUUACUCAAACCCGGACCCCAGGCCCACAUCUUGGAAUCCGACAAAAAUUACAUCAAUAUAAUCCUCAUCCUCCUACGUGUCUAUAUAUGUCAAGAACAUCAAAAUCGGACCUCAAAUGGGCCCUCAAAUCCCCUAUCUAACUUUCCAAUUUCAAGCCCUAAUUUUCACAACUCUUUCUCUAAUUUUCCCACAAAUUUCAUGAUUAAACAAUGAAAUAAUCACCAUAAACACAAGAUACAAAGCCCAAGUAGCUUACCUUUCUAUCAACACUUGAUUCCCUCUUGAAAUCACAGCUUGGAGUUCCAAAAUCGCACAAAAAUGAUGAACAAAUGACUGAAAAUCGCGAAGGGGCCUUUUUAUACAUUCUGCCCAACACUUCGCACCUGCGAUCCCAUAAGUGCAUCUACGCUUCCGCUUCUGCUGAAAAACAUCUACUUCUGCGGAUUUCACUUAUGUCACCAGGCCUCGCAUCUGCGGUCGCCUCACUGCUCCUGUGGUAUCGCAGAUGUGGUUAUCAAGCCGCACCUGCGGUCCUUCUCGCACCUGCGCUUUUCUUCCGCUCCUGCGGUUCCCAAUCCGCGGGUGCAGAUAUGACAAAAGCAGCAACAUCAGCUGCAUUUUCUCAAGUUCAACCCUCCAAGAAACUAUCCGAAAUCAUUCUGAGGCCCCCGGGACCUCAACCAAAAAUACAAAUAAGUCACAUAACCUUAUUCAAACUCGUCCUAACCUUCAGAACGCUCAAAACAACAUAAAAACACCAAAAUCACAUCAAAUUCAAGCCUAGGAUUCCAAAUAUCUUCCGAAUUCUGCUUUUGAUCAAAAACCCAACCAAACCAUGUCCGAAUAACCUAAAAUUUUGCACACACAUACCAAAUUUCACAAAGGAACUACUGCAACUUCCGAAAUUCUAUUCCGACCUUUAUAUCAAAAUCUCGCUUAUCAACCGGAAAACGCCGAAAUCUCAAUUUCGCCAAUUCAAGCCUAAACCUUCCACGGACUUCCAAAAUGUAUUCCGAUCACGCUCCUAAGUCCCACAUCUCCUAACGGAGCUAACCAAAUCAUAAAAAUUCCGAUUCGAGACUAUAUACUAACAAGUCAAAUCUUGACCAAACCUUUCAAAUUUCAAGCUUCAAACUGAGAGCUGUUCUUCCAAAUUCAUUUCGAUUACCCUGAAAACCAAAACCAAUUACUUACAUGAGUCAUAAUACAUCACACAGGGCAAGCCAUGUUCGAGAACUAGCGAGCAAAGUGCAAAAGCUCAAAAUGACCGGUCGGGUCGUUACAUCCUCUCCCACUUAAACAUACGUUCGUCCUUCAAUGUGCCAAGAGUUGUUCCAGAAGCCAACCAAUCGCUGAAUAACCUUACUAUACAUAUUCCUGGGAGUGAUCCCACGUCACCCUAUCUCACAUAGGUCUGAUAACACAAUGUAACUGAAAUUUUCACAAUCCAAACUAGCCCAUAAACCUUAGAACCACAUUUCCACUUUUGAAAUCAUCCAGAAGAUCAGAAUUUCACAUUUACACUCUGAAUAAGCCCGAACAAGCUGUAAUAACCCAUGCCUGCAACCUCAGGUACAAUUACAUGAUAUACCACAUAACUCAAACACUUGUAGCGAUAACUUCUAAUCACAAAAGUUGCACACAACACCCGGAUACCGAUAGAAAACCUCUUAUCAACUGAAGUCUCAUUCCAACACUUUCAUAUACUGCCAAUGAUAAAUGAAACACGCAGUAAACCAUAACCAUCUCUCAGAUCAACCAUUCAUGAAGCCACUUCUCCUUUGGCAAAGACCAUAGCAAAUUUCUGAGCCGAACCUCGUUAUCAUCCUUCCAAUCAUACUGAAAUCGAAUACGUUCAUAUUCAUUAAAGAACCUAACGAUCUCAUCUAAUCCAACACAACUACUCUGGUGACAUGACACAUCAAUGCAGACUAAAGCCACAACUUGCGUAAUCCGUGCACCAAUAAGCAACAAUCCGAACAUACUCAAAUCAUGAAAAUGACCAACUGAAAGAGCUGUACUGCAAGCUCACCAGUACCACCACACACGAUGCGGAGAACCCGUCACACAUCAUAGAAAUAGAACACAUGAAUCUAACCCGUAGGAUAACACCGUCCACAUAGCUUUGCUCCAAUGCACGGCCUCAUCUAAACACUAGUCCACAUGAAACACCUCAAGUCACUAGGCUCAAAAAUCGAUAACCAUGCGCAAUAUGAUGUCUAAAACCAAAGCAAUCAUCAUAACCACCGCAAAGCAAUUGACACAACAUUACACAUACCCGAAGGAAUACAACCGAUACGCCAUCCACCAAGCAAUACCCAGUACUCUUUCCCGCUCGACUUCCACUAUGAAACCCCAAUAGAACCGCACCAUCUGUGCCUAUAACCAAUAAUUCAUAACGUCUCGCAACACAGAAAAGUAAUUCCUAGAUCACCUCAGGACACUAAUAGCUCAAUAACAACUUAAUCAACACAUCCCUCACCAAUAGCAACUCGAAGUCAACAAAGCCGUCUCAAUGUAGAACAUACAUCUAUAUAGGUCUACCAAUGAACCCUUAUCAAGGAGUUCCUGAAGCUGAUCCUUCAACUCCUUUAACCCCGUCGGUGUCGUAUGCCUAGUGCGCGACACCAAAUCAACAACCCCUCUUGGCGACAUGCCAGGCCACAAGAAACACAUCCAAAAAAUCCCUCACUACCGAAACUGAAUCAAUGGUAGGAGUCUCUACACUGACAUCCAUCAUGAAAGCCCAAAUAAGAAGGACAAUCCUUCCUAGCGAUCCGCUGGGUCUUAGAAUAUAAAACCACCCAACUAGGACAUGAAAUCCGUUGAACCUCGCCACUGAAUCUGUGGCAUUCCCGACAUUGCCAACAUCACCGCCUUAGCGCAAUAGUCCAGAAUAACACGACACGAAGACAACCAGUCUAUUAUUACAUCAAAAUCUAACAUACCAAGCAGCACAAGAUCCACUCGGGUCUCCAAACCCCGAUAGUCACUAAACAGUGUCGAUACACACGACCCACAACCACAACAUAACCUGAAUAUGAGAACUCCCAGUCUCCAACUCUAUAUAGCACACGAAUCACCAUACCUGAUCCCAGUUCCGCCAUCCGAAUACAUACCCCACCUCUAAUACCCAAUCAUUCCACGAAAGAUACUCUAAAAUUCUCCUAUGCCACCAAGAAAACUCGAAUAUCAGCAGUCGAUCUAACAAGAGAGUGUCGCAAUACUACCGAAGUACCAUCAACUUAAUCACAUUGCCCUUUUUUGAAACAUAUACCCUCGUCAAAUCACCCCUAUUAGCAAUACCAUUUCCUUUAUCAUCUACAGAUCAUUUCCCAAACCAUCUGAAGCUCAUUUCCCUACUUAUCUGGAGCUCAUUUCUCUAAUUAUCUGAAACUGCCCGUGCUGCCUAAGAAUUCUGACCUUCCUUUCAGAACUGAUCUAUGACCUUACACAUGCAAAUCUAAGUCUUUCACAACAUACCGCAUAUACCAUACCAUCCUAAGGUAAACAUGAGAACUUCAUAUCCAUUCUGAGCCACACGCAACUACGUGCUCAACCAGCCAAGAACUUUUCCAUUGAACCUCAUCUAGGAGAAAUUCACUAUACAUCCCAUACUUCUCAUGCCCGUGGAAAAUACACACCUCUAACCGUGGUAGAAUCAUCAAGAACUUUCCGAAUUCCAUUCACACAAAACUAAACAGUCAGGACUGAAUCCUUCUAACUCAACCAAGCUACGCAGGCCACUAAAAACCCAAGAGAAUUGCCGUAAAACACAUGCAGAACUCAUUACCUCGUAAUCAUCCAAAGGAAUAAUCAUAUCUUUACCAUGCCGAUCCGGCCUACUACCAAGCUAUCCUAUUUAUCCUAGUUCCUUCUGAUUUACCUUCAACUUGAUACUCCUUCUUGCUAUAACACCACAAUUCGUCAAUCCAGACUCACCACAUGAGACCCAAGAAUAAAACUACACCGUCUAAGACUCAUAAGCCGCCGAACUCUCUCUUAAAUAUUCCCAAACGCACCACAUUCAAAAUACCUACCCUGAAGAGAUUUCCCUGCGGAUCCAAAUCCAUUACCUUUACCUUCUGAUACUGAUACAGAGAAUCCCAUAAUGAUAUAGAAAUACCACGAGUCUUGACACCCUCCACUGCAAACUUCAGUUUCUAUCCAAAAAUACAACUCGAAAAUUUUCACUUAUUAUAUGAAAAAUCUUGAACCCCUUAGAACCAUUCCCGAGAAUCAUUCACUCUACUCAAACUACAAUUAGCCUAACCAAACGAAUCGAACAACCUGUGCCUCAUUAGCACUCCGACACCACAGAGUGUAACCUCAUCCUAAAACAACCGAGCAACUUCCUGCUAUAUGCACCGAUCAUCCUUUACUGAUAACAACUCACGACAUUCCGCGAUUCUCACACCCCUAUGAAUCAUACUAUAACCUUUGUCAAGAAUUUUCCUUUACUUGAUCCAUCUUCGGUCUCAAUCUCCGUAGGCCAUAACUGAUUCUCCCGUACACCUCAAACUCGAACCAACAUAGCACAUAAUCGUGCAAUCAACUAAUCCAUAGUAGACUCCCCCACUUGGCUCGAAGCCAUAGAUCAAAACACACUCAAUAACUCAUAACUCAUAUACUCUAUUGCUGCCAUAGUACCAUAGUGAGAUUAAACUCGAUCCUUCAUAAGUUCUUGAAACUCAAACCAUCUGGUACUUUAACUCAUAUGCAAAUCUCGCAUUCACUCUCGUAGCAGUUAAACUCACUCUCUUAAGCGAUCCAAACUUAAAUUGCAACACAUAUAUUUCACUUAUAAAUGAGAUCUUCUAACGAACAACAUAAGGAUCACACAACCUCAAAACAUUCCGCAGGAGAUAACCUACCUGCUUCGCCUCAAACUAACAUUUCUGUAUACCUUCCACUAUCAUAAACAUUACGCAGCCACUUAAUCUUCCUGAGUCUGAACUCAUACCGCAACAUGAAAUUUACUUCACUCCCAACUAGAAAACAUGAGAAGGUUAUUCACACACCCAUAACUCGGGGCUAUACCUUAAAUCAAGAUGGAAAUCAAGCACCUAAUAGUUCUUCUAUCCUCCAGCAGACCCUUCUCGUCGCUUCCAAAUCAUAUGAAUACAUUUUGCAGCCACAUCAUGCUCAUCACGUAACUAUCCAGUCAUUACUUCUCAUAAUAGGGACACAACGGCACAUAUAGAUCCAGAAGCACGCGCUCACGCAAUCAACAGCUCAGGGCUCAAGCUACAGGCAAAAAUCCGGCCUCGAGUCCUCCAGACUGGCCCAACAUCAACGCACAGAAAAUCAUAUCUCUCACCUCGACCAGGGAAUAACAAGCCAUCGAUGCGCAUCUGAUAUUGAGCGCUCGUGCGCGCAUGUGAACGCAUGGAAGGAAUUCAAAGAGUCACAUUUCAAGCUGAAUCAAGGACACAUAAUAAGAAUUCAAGAAUGUGAAGUUUUCCCUAAAGGUUCUGCGGCCUCCCGAGGAUAAGUACAGACGUCUCUGUACCGAUCCGUGAGACACUACUAAACUUGCUCAUGACUCGUGAGACCUAUAUAACCUAGGCUCUGAUACCAACUUGUCACGAUCCUAAACCCGAACCCAGUCGUGAUGGCGCCUCUCGUGAAGACAAGGAUAGCCGACACUUCCCAUUUCAAUAUUUAACAGUUAAACAGUAAGAAACAAUCUAGGCAUGAUAAAAUGAUCCAAAGUUUAAGAAGAUAACAACAUAAUUUGCGGAAUACAACCCAACACAGCACGAUACCGAGGUGUCACUAGUCAUGAGCAUCUAAACAAAUCGGUAUACUCAGAGAAAUCUAUAGAGUUUAAUACAGUAACUAAGAACAUGGAGAAUAAGAUAGAAAAGAAGCUCUGGGCUACGAACACGACAACUACCUAGAGACUCCUCGGAUCCGCCUGAGCUGGAAAGAUCAGCACUCGGGAGCGGGACUAGAUGCGCUUGAAUCUGCACACGGGGUUUAGGGAGUAAAGUGAGUACUCCAACUCAGUGAGUAAUAAUCAUAAAUAAGGACUGAAAGCAGGAAAUCACGUAAAGCACAUUUGCAGACUAUAAUAAAGCAGUAAAACUAAUGAAAGAUAUGUGAAAGUCAUUUAACUAGAAUUAAAUUUCACAAAAACCUUUUUCAACAAUUUAAGUAGGUAAAUGACAGGCAAUUAAGGAAAAUAAACACAUAAAUUUUUCGCCCCUCGGGCACAAUAUCAACAAAUCUGCCCCUCAGGCAAUAUCUCAAAACAAUACCAGCCCCCCGGGUUGUAUCUCAUAUCACAAUGGGUACCCACGCUCACUGGGGGUAUGCAGACUCCUGGAGGGGCCCCUUUCAUCCCAAGCGCAAUAUCAAGCCAUCUCUUGGCAUCAUCACUAGGAAUUCGGCCUCAUAUCAACAAGCCACCUCGUGGCGUACAUAUCUCAGGCUCUCGGCCUCAUAAUCAUAAUCAGUGUAUCAUCGUUGCGGCGUGCAGCCCGACCCAAAAGUAUCCUCACAGCACAGGCCCUCGGCCUUACUCAGGUAAAAUUACAUAAGCCACUCGGGCAACAGUAAAACAUGAUGCUCAGCCCAAAAUAUUAUUUGAAAUAUCAUUUGAUGUAUUAACACAGAGUAGACAUGGCUGAGUUAUGAAAAUAGUGAAAUAUAGCAUGACUGAGUUCAAGUAUAAAGUCAAGACGGUGAGGAAAUAUCAAUAAAAAUUCCCUAAGGGUUCAAAUAGCUGGGACGAAACCCAAAUAUGGCAUUCAGCCCAAAACAUGAUGAUAGCAAAUAGAUUUCAGUCAAAGACACGGUAAAAUAGUUAUUCAGGACGGACUAAGUCACAAUCACCAACAGUGCACGGCCUCACGCUCGUCAUCUAGCAUGUGCAUCACCUCAAUAUAGCACAACGAUGUGCAAUCCGGGGCUUCGUACCAUCAGGACAUCAUUUACAAUCAUUACUCACCUCGAUCCGGUCCAAACUCUAGCCCGCGAUGCUGUUUGCCUCACGAAUCGACCUUCGGAUGUCCAAAUCUAUCCACAAACAGUACAUAACCAUUAAAAUAUGCUAAGGGAAUAAAGCACACUCGAAAAUAUCCAAUUUAUAUUUAAAAUCCCGAAAUUGCUCAAACUCGGCCCCCGGGCCCACGUCUCGUAAUCCGACAAAAAUUACAUUAAUAUAAUCCUCAUCCUCCCACGAGUCUAUGCAUAUCAAGACCAUCAAAAUCGGACCUCAAAUGGCCCCUCAAAUCCUCUAUCUAACUUUCCAAUUUCAAGCCCUAAUUUCCACAACUCUUUUUCUAAUUUUUCCCACAAAUUUCAUGAUUAAACAAUGAAAUAAUCACCAUAAACACAAGAUACAAAGCCCAAGUAGCUUACCUUUCUAUCAACACUUGAUUCCUUCUUGAAAUCACAGCUUGGAGUUCCAAAAUCGCACAAAAAUGAUGAACAAAUGACUGAAAAUCAUGAAAGGGCCUUUUUAUACAUUCUGCCCAGCACUUUCGCACCUGUGAUCCCAUAAGCGUAUCUGCGCUUCCGCUUCUACGGAAAAACAUCUGCUUCUGUUGAUUUCACUUAUCUCACCAGGCGUCGCAUCUGCGGUAGCCUCACCGCUCAUGCGGUAUCGCAGAUGCGGUUAUCAAGCCGCACCUGCGGUCCUUCUCGCACCUAUGCUUUUCUUCCACUCUUGUGGAGCUCGCACCUGCGGUCCCCAAUCCGCAGGUGUGGAUAUGACAAAAGCAACAACAUCAACUGCAUUUUCUCAAGUUACCAAAAUCACAUCAAAUUCAAGCCUAGGAUUCCAAAAAAUCUUCCGAAUUCCGCUUUUGAUCAAAAACCCGACCAAACCACGUCUGAAUAACCUGAUAUUUUGCACACACAUCCCAAAUGUCACAACGGAACUACUGCAACUUCCGGAAUUCCAUUCUGACCUCUAUAUGAAAAUCUCGCCUAUCAAUCGGAAAACACCAAAAUCUCAAUUUCGCCAAUUCAAGCCUAAACCUUCCACGAACUUCCAAAAUGCAUUCUAGUCACGGUACUAAGUCCCAAAUCUCCUAACGGAACUAACCAAAUCAUAAAAAUUCUGAUCCGAGAUCAUAUACUAACAAGUCAAAUCUUGGUCAAACCUUUCAAAUUUCAAGCUUCAAACUGAGAGUUUUUCUUCGAAAUUCAUUUCGAUUACCCUGAAAACCAAAACCAACUACUUACAUGAGUCAUAAUACAUCACACGGGGCAAGCCAUGCCCGAGAACUGGCGAGCAAAGUGCAAAAGCUUAAAACAAUUGGUCGGGUCGUUACAUUCAAAAUUCGAGCUUGUAAUAUGAUCUAUACUUGGCUUUCUUUAUUAUUGAUAUUACCGUGUUUGUGAGCCUAAUGUGCUAAUUGCCGCUCAUUUACCGCUUUGAUAUUAUUUGAACUGUAUUAAACCAUUUUCUUACACCUCCCUUCUAAGUCUUCUAAAAGUAUGGUGCACACGUAUGCGUGCCCCACUUUUCUAUUAGAGGUCAUUCCAAAUAAAAUGAGGUUGAUCAGCAACUAGGUUGGGUAGACUUUCGUUCUCCCGGUAUAUUGUCCCAGCCUCGGCUCAAGUUGUCCGCUUGGGUAAGUCAUGUCUAAAACACACCCUCAGGAUUUUAAGCCUAUAAUAACAUAGCCUCAAGUCGGACCCCUAGUAGAAUGUUUGUUUGCGUCAUGUGCAUUUGACUUUGGGGACUCAAUACAGGGGUUGGGUCUAUCUGGGACAGGUGUACCCAAAAAAUAAAAGACCAUCCUGAUGCAACCUACGUGCUACUUGUGCAUUUUGUUUGAUCUGGUUUGCAUGUUGACUGGCUUCUAGAAUAAGUACAUAAAAUUAAGAAAAAAAUGGCAGAAGUGAGAGGUAGGAGAGAGAAAAUUCAUUCGAUUUUCAAAAAUCCAUGUACUUGAGAAAUCCCAAAACUCUACCGAUUUUUUUUUUUAAAAAAAAGUCAUUUCAAAAUGAGCCAAAAUUUUCAAGUGUCAUGUUUCCCCUAUUCCGUCAAAAUUGACUGAACUAUACGGGUCUGUUUCUCACCAGAUGUGAGAUACGUAGGCAAACCCCAUCGUUUCUGACAAAUAAUUUUUUGAAUGGUGAAGAAAGUUUGAGGUGGUCGGUUUGUGGUAAGCUGACAAUACAAGAUUUAAGAAAAAUGACAACUGACAUCGAAACUGUUACGAGUGCUUAAGAGGAUCAGGGUCAGAGGGUUCAACAAGAGUCUACUGUGGUUAAGGAAAAUAGAAUAUUGAAACAGCAAAUGACUGAAAUGUGUCAAGCAUAGGCCAAUGUCCAAGGACCUCCUUUUUCUAUACAUGGUUUCCCGGAGUUCACAUCCAUCUCGAUUACUACCAUUUCGGUCUCAUUGUCUGAUUAAUCCUAUCCAUAUGGGUUCAGUCUUUAUUCCAACUGUACGACUACUACCAUUCUGAUCACAUUGUCUGAUCAAUCAUAUCAACAUGGGUUUAGUCUUUAUCCCAACUGUACGACUACAGUUAGAACUUCUGUUGCGCGCUCCCAAAGUGUGCCAUUAACAACCAAUCAGACAACCACUACUGUUAUGUCUGUCUUCACCAUCAUACAGCUAACAGUGGUAUAGAAGAAAAGUCAUGAGACAUAAUUUUCUACCCAGCAAGAACAUUCUCACUCUCCUGAGUACCACUCGUACCUAUUUGAUCUUCCUGCAAAGAUUAAGCAGCCUACCCGAAAGAUGGCACAUGAAGAAAUGGCCCAAAAAAUGAAAAGCUUAGAACAACAACUGAAAAACAUGCAAAGGUUGGCAGGUCAGAAGAGUAUUGCCUUCAAGGAUCUAUAUAUGUUUCUCGAUGUUCAUUUGCCACUUGGUUUCAAGAACCCCAAAAUUGAAAAGUAUGAUGGACACGACGACCCUAUAGCCCACUUGAAAAGGUAUUAUAAUCAGCUAAGAGGUGCGGGAGGAAAUGAAGAAUUACUAAUGGCUUAUUUUGGGGAAAGCCUUACGGGAUAACCUCUGAAUGGUUUAUUGAUCAAGACACCUCUCACUAGCAUGCCUGGGAUGACAUGCCCGGGCCUUUGUCAAAUAAUUCCAAUAUAACAUUGACAUCCCCCGAGCGCAAUUCCCUUUCAAACCUAAAGAAGAAAUCAACUGAAAGUUUCAGGGAAUAUGCCAUUAAAUGGAAAGAGCAAGUGGCUAGAGUUAAGCCACCCAUGGAUGACUAUGAGCUAAUCACUAUCUUCCUUCAGAUUCAGGAGCUAGAUUAUUUUUAAAACAUGAUGUCCACAGUGGGAAAAUCCUUCUCGGAAGCAAUCAAAACUAGGAAAAAGGUUGAGAAUGUCCUUAAGAUAGGCAGAAUUCAAGCAGUUCUCAAAGCCACAACUCAGCCUGCCUAGAUUGAAUCUGGUAAUUUUAGUGACACGAAAGAGAAGGAUGAAGAAACCAUGAUGACAUCAGGGUCGAGAAGAGGUCAUAGGAGAAAAUCUCAAUGGCAUGAGUAGCCUCGUCUGGUUUUUGAUGUUUCCUCUGAGCACUACUAUCCACCUCAAAACCUAUAAUACUCUGUUGCUCCGCCUCAGUAUGUUGUCCAACCACCAAGACAUCCCACAAGUCGAACACUAGCACUACAAAAUCCCCACCAGCCUCUACAAAAUUUUUAAGCUCCCUAUAACCCGCAUCUAAGCCAGGAGUAUAGAGGAGAACAAAGGUUGAAAGAUAAUUUUACACCAAUAGGAGAGUCCUAUGUAAGCUUGUUUGAGAAAUUAAAGCAAUAUGGCAUGAUUACACCUAUUUCUCCAAAUUAUGUGGACUCACGUCAAGAAGUUUUGACCCUUCCAAAAGGUGUGAAUAUCAUUCCAACGCCCAGGGGCACAAUGUUGAAAGCUAUCGGGAUUUGAAAAGAGAAAUAGAAAGGAUGAUCCAGAAAAAGCUGAUUGUGAUCCAAGAUAAUGACAUCCAGAAUAUCGCGCAGAAUCCUUUACUUUCACAUAAUGAUACACACUUUGUGGGGAUGAUACGUGGUGACAUGGAGUAUGAGAAUCUUCUCGAGAACUUGCUGACUGAAGUUAAUGAGAUUGAAAUUGGAGAAGGCCUUGGUGAUUUCGAUGAGCAAAUUUAUGGCUAAAUGUCAAGCUUAGCAAUUGAAAAGUCAUUCCCUCCUCACUGAGAAGGAAUCUUGGUAGCUUGUUUUGAUGUUUUUUCUAUUAUCUGAGUUAUUUCAGGGUUGAUCCAGAUUUUAUUUAUUUUGUUGAGUAAAACCCUUUUGUCCAUCUAUUAUGUCUUUGAGAGUCUUGUCUGUUUGUUCUAUUGUUAUUUCCAUUAUCUAGGUUAUCUCAGGGUCGUAACUCAUAGUUUAGUUUAUUUGUCUUGUUGUCAAACCCUUCCACCCGUUAUUUAAUGAAAUACAGUUUGUCAUUUUAUCUCAUUCUGUGCUUAGUUCUUUUUCCCUAGUUCUAGUGACAUGACAUGCAUGCGAAAUUUUUGGCUAGAUCUUAGAAAACUGAUUUAGUCUUGAAUUGGGUUAGUGAGAAAGAGGCACUUUUGAUGAUGAAUAAAGACAUGAAACAUUUGGAAAGUAAUCUUGAGCCAAGUUUACAUGGAACCAAAGCAGUUAUGCUCAUGGAAGUUAAGGAUCUCUACCUUUUGAAUCAUUGAGAAGAUCGGGCUUAAGCAUGAUCGGACGAGUUGAAGUUUGUUUAGCACUAAGAGAUAGAAAGUGUUUUUUAAAAGAAGGUGUAUUCCAGAAAACUUGAAAUGGAUCAGUUUAGUGGCAAAAUGCAUCUUAUACAUCAAGACAAAAUCCAAGAAAAGUCACUCAAAUCGACAAAGGUCAUUCACUGCGAGAAAAGUAUUGCUCAUAUAGCUUUACACUGAAAAGACCCAAAAGCAGACAUGUCCAUCAAUGUUGUGAUUGUGAAGAGAUAAUAUGUUUGGCGUUCUCGAGGCGGGGAGGCCCUUUUUUUCUACCUAAACAUUUUAUAUCAUUCGUUACUCCUUUUGAGCCGAUGUCAUUUUAUUUUAAUCCCCCUCUCUUGGAAUCAAGUCUAGAGUCAAAAGUCCAAAAAAAAAGGAAAAAGGUCCACGCCCCAAGAGUACAAACUGGGACAACUCUUAGAAAGUUCAAGUAAAAAAAAGAAAGAAAAGAAUAGGUCAAAGAUCUAUGUCCCCAGAAAAUAAAAGUUGGGGCAACUUGUUUUGAAAACAAAAAGAAAAAAAGGGAAAGAAAGAAAAAAUGAGAAAAAAGCAAAAAAGAAAAAGAAAAAGAAAGAAAGAUGAAAAACAAAAUAGUUACAUCAAAUGUUUGAACUACGUUUGACCUGAUUCCUUUAAAAAGGAUACGUAGGCAGCCUUACAUGGUUCGGUCCAACCAAAUAAGAAUUCAAAAAAAAAAUCUCCAGUAUCUGAAACUGGGGCAAAAAUUUUAUUUUACGUUUGAAAGAGUCGAUUCCAAGAGUUGUAAGUCUAUAACCCCCUCAUUUUGAGUCUACCUUGAGCUUACAUGUCAUCCUUUCUUUCCAACCCUUUCAAAAACCUUCCAAAUAAAGACCUCCUAAUCCGCCUUCAGGAAUGCCAAAAGACGCAUGCAAUGAGCAAUAGUUGUCAUACGAGAUCGAACAUUGUCAAGUUGCUCACAAAAGAAAGCCAAAAAAAGGAAAGAAAAAGAAAAAGAAAAAAUGAGAGAGUCUUACUAGUGUAAAUUCUCACGAGUAGUGUAAGGAGACAGUAAGUAGAGAUAAAUAAAUGGGAGAGACUUGUUGGUGAAAAUCCCUCGGGGCACAACUAGCUGAAAGUGAAUCGUAAAGCUGAUGCAAAGAAUUGGCACAACCAAACCCGUCUUCAAAGGUCAUAAGAAUGGUAAAAGGAAAGAUUCAAGCAGUUUGAUAGAUCAGGCCAUUUAGUCCAAAAUGCAUGUCAUGAUCAUUAAGGCUAGUUAGCGCAAAAAAAAAACUCUUCCUUCUGUCCUUCCCGACAGGGUCAUUUCUUGUUAAUAUUGUUUCUUUGCAUUAUUGUGUCUUUCAUUCUGAGUCAGUCUUUGUCAAAACAAGCAAGAAAAGAUUUUAAAAUCUGCUACCAGUUUUUCAGUUGUACAAAGUAAAUUUGGUCAGCACACUCAGUUGUUACAGUCAACACGCCUUGAGGAUUCAUGCAAAUGCUUCCCCCUCAAAUGACUUUUAUUAGCCUACUUGGCUAAAACAAGCAAAGAUAACCUCAAGGUUAAUCGGGAAUUCUCUGUAGUACUAAACAAGGGCUAUGAAGUGUGCACAUCAUGCAAAAGGCACUUACCAAUUGCUAUUCUCUCUAAUAGACAAAUUGCUCCAAAAGCAAAAGCCAUUCAAGAUAUCAUAAAAAGUUAUCCAAGAAAAGAAAUCUCUUUUUUGAGAUAAGGUUGAUUGAGCCACAAACACAAAAUGGGACUGGGAGUGAAACAAUCAAGUUUGAUACGAAGAGCAAAAAUCUCUUGAAAGAAAAAAUAGUCUCCUAGAAGUGUAGCCAACUACCAAUACAGUCAGUCUUUUAGAAGCGAAUGGGCACAAGGCCAAGCUGCCAAAGAUAUCAAGGCCACAACUUUUUGAAACUGAUAAAAUUUUCUUUGUUUAAAACAGGGACAAAGCAGUGCAAGGAAGGUAAUUUUUUUAAAAAAAGGAAAAAAAGGGGAAAAGGAAAAAAGAAAAGAAAAGAAAAGAAAAAGAAAAGAAAAGAAAAGAAGAAAAGAGCUGACAAAGGAAAGAUUUUCAAAUCUUUGCCUUUAUUUAUCUUUUGAAUAUGCAUAAAAUCAUGUCAUUUCUCUUCACAUUUUCCUCCUAGGGUAUUGCAUCCUAGUCUGAUGGAUCUUUCCUUCUAGCAAAAAUCUUAGUCUGAUGAUUCAUUCUCCUAAGAUAAAAAAAUCUUAGUCUGAUGAAUCUUUCUCCUAAGAUAAAAUGCCCUAGUCUAAUGAACUUUCUAUGAUAGAAAUUUUAGUCUGAUGAAUUUUUCUCCUAGGAUAAAAAUCUUAGUCUGAUGAAUUUUCUCCUAAGAUAAAAAGACCUAGUCUGAUGAAUCUUUCUCCUAAGAUAUAUAUCCUAGUCUGAUGAAUCUUUCUCAUAAGAUAAGAAAACCUAGUCUGAUGAAUUUUCUUCUAAGAUAGAAAUCUUAGUCUGAUGAAUCUUUCUCCUAGGAUAGAAAUCUUAGUCUGAUGAAUAUUCUUCUAGGAUAAAUUUUUUUCUCUGAUUAAUCUUUCUCCUAAGAUAAUAAAAAAAAUCCUAGUCUGAUGACAUUCUCCAAGACUAAAAAUAUAGAAAUCUUAGUCUGAUGAAUCUUUCUCCUAAGACAAGAAAACCUAGUCUGAUGAAUAUUUCUCCUAAGAUAAACGUCUUAGUCUGAUGAAUCUUUCUCCUAAGAUAAGAAAACCUAGUCUGAUGAAUCUUUCUCCUAGGAUAGAAAUCUUAAUCUAAUGAAUGUUUCUCAUAAGAUAAGAAAAUCUAGUCUGAUGAAUCUUUCUCCUAGGAUAGAAAUCUUAGUUUGAUGAAUCUUUCUCCUAAGAUAAGAAGCCCUAAUCUGAUGAAUUUUCUCAUAAGAUAAAUGUCUUGGUCUGAUGAAUCUUUCUCCUAAGAUAAAUAAAUCUUAGUCUGAUGAUUCUUUCUCUUAAGAUAACAAGAAAAACUAAUCAGAUGAAUCUUUCUCCUAAGAUAAACGUCUUUUUUUGAUGAAUCUUUCUCCUAAGAUAAGAAAACCUAAUAUGAUGAAUUUUCGCCUAGGAUAAUUUAAAAAAAAGAAGAAGUAUGGUUUGAAAAAAAAUCGUUUGUUCAUGCCCUCAGAAAAUAAGCGUUGGGGCAAUUUAUUUUAAAAAAAUAUUUUUGAUUUAAAAUAAAUCAAAAAAUUAGUCGUAUGUUAGCAUACAAUACAUCUUUCCCUAGCUGCAUUUUUCAACAUAGAGUUUCCACUCCCAAGUUGAUUUUAUUUUAGACAUAGGAUCUUCACUCCCUAUUCUCAUUUUCCAACAUAGGGUCUUCACUCCCUAGUUAAUUUUAUUUUAGACAUAGGGUCUCCACUCCCUAGUUGAUUUUAUUUUAGACAUAGGGUCUCCACUCCCUAGUCAACCUUUUCCAACAUAGGGUCUUCACUCCCUAGUUGAUGUGAGCUUAAAUCCAGGGUGCACCACUCCCUCCUUACCAGUAUAGGGUACACCAAUCCCUAGCUGUGUUUUCCAACAUAGGAUACACUAUUCCCUAGUUGAUUUGAUCUUAAAUGCAGGGUACACCACUCUCUGAUAUCAUUGCCAAUAUAGGGUAUACCAUUCCUUUGCCAUAUUUUUCCAACAUUAGAUACACCAAUACUUGUUGAGACAUCUUUUUGAUAAUAAAGGAAUACCAUUAAAAAAAUCAUCAUGAUCUUUUCAGGGUACACCAUUCCCGACCUUUUAUUGCUUUCAAUAAAGAAGUAGAAAAUUUUUGUUACAAUAACUCAUGAAAUUUUUCUAGUGAAAACUAGGGUAGAAAUUUUUUGUCUAUUUUCUUGUUUUGGUGUCUGAGCGGGUUUUACCUCGAGGCACAAGGUUCGAGAUGACCAAAAGAAUAAGUCUCAAUUCAGAGUAAAAGAAAAAAAAGAAGUGAAUCCAAAAUGCAGAAACAGAUGAAAGAUGUGAUAUGCUCAAGACAUGACUGAAGUCACGAGCACUGCAUUCCCGAUUUUUAUCAGAAGAAGCCGCAGAAGAAUGAACUAGCACCUACAGCUAUCAAAUAUCAAUGUUCAAAUCAAAAGUCUGCACGAAGGACCAUUCAUGACUCAAGGUCAAGCUUCAGAAGACUUAUAGAUAGAAAUCUUAUAACUCAUAGCUAAUAGGCGUGUUUAGUUCCUUUAGAUUUUGAUGUAAUAACAGGACCAUGGACCGGAGCCUCGACAGAAUCUCACUCGACUCUCGAACUCAUCAUUCCAUCGUUCUCUUUGAACAACACGCGACUUGAUUCCCUUAUGGCUCGGGAUAUGUAAGUUGUCUAAAAUCAGGACUCGGUUGCACCCUUUCCUUUGUUUAUAUUCCUUUUUGAAUAAAGAUUUGAUCAAAAAUUAGUCACACGGCUCACUUUGGCUUUGCCUGAAAACUCUUCAUGUUUUCAAACAAAGAGGGGCAGCUGUGAGCACCUAAUUUUUGACUAUAUUUGAAUUUUUCUUUGCUUUUUUAGUAUGUAAAUAUUUGUUAAAUUUAAUCUUGAUAUUUUAGCCUUUAUUUCACUUUUUUGUAGGUUUAUUUAAUAAAAUUAAAACUACAAAAGAAAAUACACUUUUAGAUUAUAGAUGUAUCUCAUUUGCAAAAGAAAUUUUUUUUACCAAAAAAGCUUUUCCUUCUAAUUUUGGUAGGGCUGCUUAUCGGGCGGAUUGGGCGGUUAUUUACUCUUAACGGUUUGACUUAUCGGUUAUCGGCUUUUAAAUGUAUUAAUCCGCUAGCCACCCGAUAAAAUAUCGGGCGGAUUGAUAUCGGUUUAUCUCUUAUCAGGCGGUUAUCGAACGGUUUAUCAGCCUAAUUCAACCUAUAUUGCAUGCAUUAAUUGUUUGCUAACAACAUAGCUUACAAAUUCAUAAAUCGAAAUUACACAUCGAGUCUACAUACCAAAAUCGAAACUACUGCCUACAUAAGAAUGAGUGAAAAAGCAGAACACAUUUGUAAAAUGUACGCUACAGUACAUCCCAAACCCAAAGCAGAGUAUUAAAAUGAACACUGUCCAUUUUAAAAUUGUACACAUUUAUUUUCUACAACUGUUCCUGCGCCACAUUGUCCAGUUCCAUAUCUACUUCUUCUCAUAUUUCAAUUACAUGAAAACACAAGAGAAAUCAUCAGGAUUAAAAACCUAUAUUAAAAAAAAUAGUUUUUGAACAGCUAUAUGAACAAUUACUUGCACUUUGCACAUAAAUGAAUCUAGCAUUUGGACCAUUUGGUCAUAUUUGUUAUUUGUAAAUACUAAAACAUAAAUGAAUCUAUAUUAACACAAACAUAGUUCCAGAUGCGAUUUCUUUAACUACAGACACCAAAGUACAAUAUUGUAUUCACUUCUUAUACCACCUGUGAACACCAGCUGCAAAUUCAUAGAGACAUCACAAAAAAAAGACUGCAGAAUCCACAGUAGCUUCCAAUUUCACACUAAUCUGUCAUUAAAUCUGAACUCCAGUGAUGAGGUCUACUGGUUGUAAAGUUGGAUCAAGAUAUGCUGGUAAAAGAUCUUUUAUUCCCAGUUCUUCCACUGAAAUAAAGAGAAAGACUAAGGACUAUUCUCUAAUGUUAUUGUCGAUAAGACAAUACUCAAAAUGCUUAUAUGUCAAACUCUUCUUACCAAUAAGUCUGGUGGAAUUUUUCCAUUAGAAAACCUUCCAGUUGGUUGUCCCCCUAUGAAAUCCUUUCCAUAAGGAGGAUAAUUAACCUUCCCUAUUGUUUUGAGGCCAUUAUUGUUACCGGUAUCAACAAUAGAGUCUCCAAAAACUAUCAAUGCUGGUAUAGACUUAUUAGAAGGUACCCUUAUGACUGCCUGGACAUUGCACAUUAGAAGUGCAAAACAAAUUCUUGAGAAUACAAGAAAAGUAUAAAUUUUGAAAAAGAAGAACUCCAUUGAUAAAGCUGAAAGCAUCUCUCGGAGCAUGGAGGAAUUAAGAAACACACAAGCACUAGUAUUUAACUUUAAGAAUCAAGAACUCAAUUUCAACAGGAAACAUGAGGGCAUCCUGCUAAGUAAAUGCUUGGUUGGCACAACAUUGAUUGCACUACUAGUUGAUUUAAUGUUUUCUUUAUCACAGAGACCAUUAUAGAAAGGCGAAUGCAGCUUUAGUUUCAGUAAAAUCUACAACACAGCAGCAAGCAGGAGCUAUCAUGUCAUCCUAUGUACAUUAAGCUGAUCACAUUUAGCUAUCAAAAUAUUAAAGUCAUGUGCUAAUUCUAGUGCUUCCCACUGUUAGUUCGAUUAAAGCUUAUAUACAACAAAUACUUGAAGCCUUGAUGGGUCAAAUUCGAAUUCUUACAAAAUAUAUUAACACUACACGUCAAUUACGGAAGGCUCUUUUCCAUUGCUGGCUAAAUCUGAAGAAAAAAAUUAAAACAAUGAGUCGUGCGAUAAAUAUAAGCAUAUCAACAACACUUAUAUACAACAAAUAAUGUCUACCACAUUUUCUUUCUAAAAUCUAUCAAUUAGGGAUAUAUAACACAAUAUUCAUAUCGACAUUACAAGACACAACAAUUUGACAUUGAGAAAUCUUAACCUUUCUUCCUCCUUUUCCCCUUUUGUUUGUUCCUUUACAUUGAAAUAUAUAAUUAACGCCACAUCCAUAAAGGUACAAUGGGUGCACUGUUUACUGCAUCUAUGUACUUGAAUCCGGUUCUUCCUAGAAGUACUAUGGAACUUUAACCCAAGGUGAUGGCAAUGUUACAUUAGCAAUCAAAAACGGCUUAAACUCAGUCAUAUGACAAGGGAAUGUUCCAUUAAUUAAACACUGAUUCACUGCAUAAAAUCGAUUCAGAGCACUGCACAUCGAGCGAAAAUGUAUGAAUUGCAAGGUAAAAAACACAGAUACCUGCUGGUGGUGGACUGCUGGAAGUCGACGAGAAGGGCGUUAGGGUUUCUGUCUUACGCGUUAGAGAGUAGAGACAGAGUACUGGAACUCUGUGGAAGGGAUUUUUUAUAUUAUAUAUAUAUNNNNNNNNNNNNNNNNNNNNNNNNNNNNNNNNNNNNNNNNNNNNNNNNNNNNNNNNNNNNNNNNNNNNNNNNNNNNNNNNNNNNNNNNNNNNNNNNNNNNNNNNNNNNNNNNNNNNNNNNNNNNNNNNNNNNNNNNNNNNNNNNNNNNNNNNNNNNNNNNNNNNNNNNNNNNNNNNNNNNNNNNNNNNNNNNNNNNNNNNNNNNNNNNNNNNNNNNNNNNNNNNNNNNNNNNNNNNNNNNNNNNNNNNNNNNNNNNNNNNNNNNNNNNNNNNNNNNNNNNNNNNNNNNNNNNNNNNNNNNNNNNNNNNNNNNNNNNNNNNNNNNNNNNNNNNNNNNNNNNNNNNNNNNNNNNNNNNNNNNNNNNNNNNNNNNNNNNNNNNNNNNNNNNNNNNNNNNNNNNNNNNNNNNNNNNNNNNNNNNNNNNNNNNNNNNNNNNNNNNNNNNNNNNNNNNNNNNNNNNNNNNNNNNNNNNNNNNNNNNNNNNNNNNNNNNNNNNNNNNNNNNNNNNNNNNNNNNNNNNNNNNNNNNNNNNNNNNNNNNNNNNNNNNNNNNNNNNNNNNNNNNNNNNNNNNNNNNNNNNNNNNNNNNNNNNNNNNNNNNNNNNNNNNNNNNNNNNNNNNNNNNNNNNNNNNNNNNNNNNNNNNNNNNNNNNNNNNNNNNNNNNNNNNNNNNNNNNNNNNNNNNNNNNNNNNNNNNNNNNNNNNNNNNNNNNNNNNNNAAAAGACGCUGCCUUCUUCUUCCCCAAGCCACCAUAAACCCACAUAAACUCCAUUAAAAUACUGCAAAUAACCACUGAAGAACCAACCUUAAAAUCCCCGCACCAAUUUUCAGCCUUUCCAUUGAUUAAACUCAUCCAAACCCAAUUGUUUUCCCCCCACAAAAAUCAGCUAAACAAUAGCUUCAAUCAGCCCCAAAAUUGCUGAAUAUAACUAGCCAAAAACCACCCAAAAACAGCCUCAAAAUCGUCCAAAAUGCAGCUCCAAAAUGACCUCAAAUUCCCUGCCAAAACCGACUCCAAAAUGCCUCAAAACCAGCCCCAAACUUAAUCAUGAAUCUCCUCUAAACUCCGGAAAGAUCCAGCCAUGAACUCCACAAAAUACAGCUACAAAAUAGUCCUAUAGACUAGCCUACCAUCUCCAAAAACUGAAAAGCUCAUUUGAGAAUUUUCGGAGCGAGUUCGAUUUGAACCCGUUCGAGGUCGUCGAUUCCAGUCCAAGAUUCUGAUUGAUAAGCUCAUUUGAGAUUUUUGAAGCUCUGUUUUCUUUUAGCUUUGUGGCGUGCCUUUCCUUGUAUGUUGACCGGAGGCUCUUGCGAAUAUUGAAAGCUAAUAAAGAAAAGGUUCAUUUCCUUUGUUGUUUUUUGCAUUUUUAUUUUUAAAGUUUGUUACUUCAUUCAGCUAUCAAAUAUGUGUGGCCUUAAUUUGCCCCAUUGGCUUCCUUCUUGUUGCCUUUAUUUUGUCAUAUUGUUGUAUGUCUCACCAUUAUUAAUAUUUAAUGUUGAUCCGAAG